UCAUGGGCGCAGGCCUGAACCAGCCAAGUAGCGUGAAGGAUGACUGCCCUAUGNCAANGUAAACUUCNNAAUAUAAAGGAAUAAAGUCGGGUAUGUAUACNNCUUUGCAUGUACUUUAUGAAUAAGGAUCGGCUAACUCCGUGCCAGCAGCCGCGGUAAUACGGAGGAUCCGAGCGUUAUCCGGAUUUAUUGGGUUUAAAGGGAGCGUAGAUGGAUGUUUAAGUCAGUUGUGAAAGUUUGCGGCUCAACCGUAAAAUUGCAGUUGAUACUGGAUAUCUUGAGUGCAGUUGAGGCAGGCGGAAUUCGUGGUGUAGCGGUGAAAUGCUUAGAUAUCACGAAGAACUCCGAUUGCGAAGGCAGCCUGCUAAGCUGCAACUGACAUUGAGGCUCGAAAGUGUGGGUAUCAAACAGGAUUAGAUACCCUGGUAGUCCAAGGGCGAAUUC
rnacentral:rRNA from 1 species